UGAUCCCUGGCUCAGGACGAACGCUGGCGGCGUGCUUAACACAUGCAAGUCGAACGAUGAUGCCCAGCUUGCUGGGCGGAUUAGUGGCGAACGGGUGAGUAAUACGUGAGUAACCUGCCCUUGACUCUGGGAUAAGCCUGGGAAACUGGGUCUAAUACUGGAUACUACCUUUCAUCGCAUGGUGGGGGGUGGAAAGGGUUUUACUGGUUUUGGAUGGGCUCACGGCCUAUCAGCUUGUUGGUGGGGUAAUGGCUCACCAAGGCGACGACGGGUAGCCGGCCUGAGAGGGUGACCGGCCACACUGGGACUGAGACACGGCCCAGACUCCUACGGGAGGCAGCAGUGGGGAAUAUUGCACAAUGGGCGAAAGCCUGAUGCAGCGACGCCGCGUGAGGGAUGACGGCCUUCGGGUUGUAAACCUCUUUCAGUAGGGAAGAAGCGAAAGUGACGGUACCUGCAGAAGAAGCGCCGGCUAACUACGUGCCAGCAGCCGCGGUAAUACGUAGGGCGCAAGCGUUGUCCGGAAUUAUUGGGCGUAAAGAGCUCGUAGGCGGUUUGUCGCGUCUGCUGUGAAAGCCCGGGGCUCAACCCCGGGUCUGCAGUGGGUACGGGCAGACUAGAGUGCAGUAG
rnacentral:rRNA from 1 species